rnacentral:tRNA from 1 species
AUAUAGAAAGAUAACCAUCUUCAAUACCA